AUGGUUAGUAGUUUAAUUCCCGUCUGCAAAUCAAUUCUCUCAUUAGCUUUGACUGCUUCAAGCAGGCUAGGAACUCAAAAAGAAAAUUUCCUUGCAACUGAGGUGCUGAUGGCUGCACAGAAUCUGGAAGCUCGGUUGUGGAUUGUGAUGGAAGGGAAGCAAGAAACUGUCAAUAAACACAAGAAUUGUGAGGCGUCCAAGCUUUGUUUUUGUUACCUACUUUACACGAACAGGGAAAUAGGUGUGCCUUUUAUAAGGGCGUUGAAACUGUUGGAUGAAUUACAAAUUCCAUGGACAUCUUCAGAAAUGACGUUAGCCUGA
rnacentral:rRNA from 1 species